CAGCAGCCGCGGUAAUACGAAGGGUGCAAGCGUUACUCGGAAUUACUGGGCGUAAAGCGUGCGUAGGUGGUGGUUUAAGUCCGUUGUGAAAGCCCUGGGCUCAACCUGGGAAUUGCAGUGGAUACUGGGUCACUAGAGUGUGGUAGAGGAUAGUGGAAUUUCCGGUGUAGCAGUGAAAUGCGUAGAGAUCGGAAGGAACAUCUGUGGCGAAGGCGACUAUCUGGGCCAACACUGACACUGAGGCACGAAAGCUAGGGGAGCAAACAGGAUUAGAGACCCCUGUAGUCCCUGUCUCUUAUAC
rnacentral:rRNA from 1 species